AGGAGCUGGGAGCGUUCGCCACUGACUGGGGCUGUGUGGAAGCAUUUUUCCUGGGGUGGUUCUGCCUUCAGCACUAUCCUCUCCAGCAGCAGACAUCCGCUUCUUUUCAGUGUCAAAGGCCUCAAUCUGGGGAAAUCUAAGGGUCUGGGGACUUCUGCGUGAUGAAGAAACCAAGGAGCCACCCUCCAUCACGCACAGAUGUCGCUUCUCCAACGCCGUUACUGAAUUAUUUUCUAGGCGUUAGUAAAGAGUGAUGGCCAUGUGUCCUGCGCGGGAUUCAGGAAAACACAUGUGUUUUUUCCUCAGAAGGGGUCUGAGCUGAGCACUGCCUUCCCCAGCUACUCUUCCUCCAGUCCCAGGCUCCGGCUGUUUUCGGUUGCCACAAGGAGGGGAGGAGUGCAAGGUUUGAUGACAUCACUGUCCACACUUGGGGAGCCUCUGGAGGCGGAGGGUGACUACAAAGAAAGCGAGAUGGGGCUGGUUGUGGCGAGCAGCGAACACGCAGAGCGUGCGCACGCACACGGCCGAGCCUCGGAACCCUCAAAGUUGUCCUGAUGGAUUAAGCAGAGACAAGUUGUAUCAAGUAAAUUAAAAAUGAAAUAGUUACAGCUGUUGGAACGGUCUCAGGGCCAGAAGAGGUAAAAGAGUUUCUACCCUCAAGGGGCCUGGAAAUAAUCUGUGAAGCACCAACUGCUUAAAUAAAGACAGCUUGAGUGAGGGCUGGCGUCCUGGAGGAAAGGGAGAGCAUCCAACGCCGCUGGGCUUGAGCGUGGUUUAAGGGAAACCAAGGAGGAUCUGCCCGCCAAGCCCUCCUUGCUCCAAGUGUCCCCAGACCCCGGGUCCCAUGGCCAGGAGGGGACAGUGGGAGGACAGUGAAGAAGGCAUUUUGGGACAAGCAGUCACAGGGAUUUUGUUUCUGUUAUGGGGACUCUCUGUCGUAUGUCAUUGAACCAUGGGGGUUAAAGCUGGAGGUUGCCUCGUGGUUUCCCAGGUUUCCUGGGAGCCCCGCAGAGCCAAGGAGCAAGAAACCUGCCCUUCGUCCUGCCAAGCAUCUCCCAGACAGACAAAACUGUGGGGCGCUUCUUCACAGGUGGCGGUGCUGAGCCUGACUCGGGUGAAGAUGCCAAAUUCUGCUCAGCCCCAUCUUCCUCUCUUUUGGCAAACUGCUUUGCUCUUCGGACACCUUCUCCCUCCCCAGCUCUCUGCUUUUUAUAUUCUCUCUGUGCUAAUGUCUGUCUUACCCUGGUUUUUGGUCUUGGGGUGGUUUUUUUUAGGGUAGCAUCAAGCCAAACAGGGCAAUUGAAUGCAGCGGGGGCUGUAGCAGUUGCAGUAACACAAGGACCCAGCGCUAAAUGCCGCGGCACAGGGACGGCAGCGUCUCAUCCAAGGAGCUGGUCCUGUGUGAUUCAGCUACCCGCAAAAGCACAGUCUCUCCCUGUUGACAGUAAAUCAAACACAGGCAAAAACAUUCAUAAUUUACCUUUUGUGAAUUUGAAAGCUGUAUGGAAAGACCCUUUUUAGUCAAAUAAAAGCACUCCAGAGUGCCUCGCUGCGGCGGGCGCUGCUGAGCUUCCCCGGACACGUGCAUUCGCAAGGAAGAUGUUGGGCCAGUCCCAGAGUUAAUGGAGCAGAGACAACAGGGAUGGCUGGGAAUAACAUGUGGAGGCAUUUUUCAUCCCAACUCAUCUUCAAACAGCGCCCAUGAGGAGUCUCUGCCGCGCACACAGCGAUGAGCUGCUGCUCCCAGCACCGGCAGCAAGUUCUGCCUCUGAGUUACCGUCUUCAGACAAUGUUUAAGGUGGAAUUGGUCUCUGCAGAAGAGAGGAGCAGCUGCCUGAAGGCCACGGUGCCGCAUUCCCCUUACCCCAGCAGCAUCGGGGGAGGAAGAGGAGGAGGAGGAGGAGGAGGAGGAGGACACCUCUCCAGCAGCAGAAUCUGUGCAACUUAACAUUUCGCAGCGAUAAAACUUUCAAUAGCUGGAAGUAAAUCCUUCAGCUUUCUGCUCGAGCUCAGCCUCUGCAGCUGCAAAUUUAUUCGGCAGGCAGCGAAUUGGGCCAAAAGAAGUAAAUAUGAGUGAUGUGACUGAUGGUGCUAGAACAUGACGCAAGCUCCCACACGGCUGCGGCGGAGGGCAAUUCCCCGGCUGCUAAUUCCCUGCUGGAGACCUCCGACCAGAAGCUGGAGCGGUCCUUCCCGAGAUGCCGGCAGGAAGGAGAGGGUGUUUCUGGAGGUGGAUCUGCAGAGCCCAGCUCUGGAGCAGCAGCUCUGGGACACGAGGCUGCUCCUGUGCCCUGGAGAGAUGCAAGCGGGGACGAUCCCCUCUCGCUGUUCCCUUUAUUGUGCCACACACCCCCUUCUCGCACGCGUAUAAAUAGUAGGAGGCCACUGUGACUACUGGAGCUGAGCUUUUAGCAGUGAUUAAGGACUAGCCAGCACAUGGCACAGCACCGCAGAGGUCCUAUUAAUUGCGAGACUCCCAGAGCAGAGCGCACUGCUGGCAGGGCUACAAGGAUGCUGAGGGGACUGGAACACUUCUCAUGAAGAAAGGCUGAGGGACUUGGGUCUUUUCAGUCUGGAGAAGAGAAGA